CACCUGGGGCUGCUCUGAGCCCUCAUCAUCCUCACAGCUCGCACCUGGGGCUACUCUGAGCCCUCCUCAUCCUCACAGCUCGCACCUGCCGCUGUUGCCGCCCUCCAAACAGCGUCUCUCCCUCUCCAGCACACACCCACUUCUCACAGACACAGAUCCAACAGAAAUCUGCUACGGGUGUUGGCUUUUCUUAAUCCAUCUGGUUACACGAUUAAAGCACAUGCGUGCAUUGAUGGUCAUUGAGAGAAAGCUUUCCCCUGGAGAAAAUAGUCCUGUUGGUAGCACACUUUGCUACACCUUCGGAAAAAGCAGAAUCGGCACCAACUCCUAAGACCCCUGCUGAGGAACCCGGCCCUCCCUGGGACACCCAAAGCAGCAGACCUCGGAAAAGGAGGGGAAAAGUCAAGCUUGGAGUGGAAAAAGAGGACAAAAGUACAGCAGCCUUUAAAAAUGCCUGCACGGAGCAAUAGUAGGAACCAGUCCCAUUUCUUCUUUCCUUGCUUUCUCUGUGAUGACAUAAAUAGGAAGUAAGAACACGUUAAACAAAAGGCAGAGCUAGGAUUUUACAGGUCUUCGUUUCGGCAGACAGCAGAGAACGGAGGCAAAAGGUGCCGGAGAGCCCUUUCUGUUUCCUUCAGCCCCUGCUGAAGUGGGUGUGUCCUGGAGAGGGAGAGACGCUGUUUGGAGGGCGGCAACAGCGGCAGGUGCGAGCUGUGAGGAUGAGGAGGGCUCAGAGUAGCCCCAGGUGCGAGCUGUGAGGAUGAUGAGGAGGGGGCGGCUCCUCCGGGGGCUGAUUUAAGGGGUUUUUCUCACAUCGCUUUUGCAUGGAGCUGCUGGAGGAGAGGAGUUUAUGGGGGGCUCCCGGGGCUGUCUCAUGGAAGGACGGUAAGUACUUCGGAAAGGGUUUGGGGGAUCAUUUGGAUACGUGGAGCUUUGCUCAAAGGAGGCGCCGAGGGACAAACCUUUGUGCCGAGAAGCAGCGGCCAAACAGGUGAGCCGGUGCGCCUUUGUAGCGGGGACUUUUCUCCUUUCCCUUUUGAAUUUCGUCCUCCUGAGGUUGAAAUGAGGGGGCUGCCCUGUUGUCCCUCCUUUUAAGGGGUUUGGAUUGAGGUAAAAUUCUGCCUUUUGCCAUCAUUUGAGGCAAGCCCCUUCUUUUCUGCUCUUCUAGGGGAUGCGAUGGAAGGGGAGCCUGGCGCGGCGGGGCUGCCGCGGGACUGCCGGAGCCGCGCCGGUGCGAGCCGUGCGGAGCCGAGGGGAGCUUUGGCCGGGCCGGCGGGCGGGGCAGGCGGCGCGGGCGCUGCGCCGGUGCCGGCCGGUGCCGCCGCUCCGUCCGCUCCGGGCGCGGGGCUCGGGCGCCGCCGGGGCCCCCCGGGCCCGGUGCCGGCCCCGCCGGGCCGGGGGGAGCGGGCGGGGGUCUCCCGGCGCGGCGCCGCCUGUGCCUGCCCGAGGAGCCGCUUUCCUGCCGGGAGCCGUGCUCCGCCCGGUGCCGGGAGCGCGGAUUUUCAUUUUCCAGCGUUCCUUGCUGUGUUGGUUUUGAGGAGUUUAUUGGAUCGUUUUCUUUUGUUCGUAGUUGGUGUAUGAGAAGGGUCGUGGUGUACUUGUUGGUUGUUAUGGUUCUUGGUUCAGGUGCUGAUGACAAGGGUUUUUUUGGAUUGAGUUUGUUGUUGGAUUUUUUUUUUUCUUUUGUGGGAUAUGUUGGAUUUUUUAUUUUUCUUUGUAUUAGAAAAAUAUAAUUGUAGUUAUCUUCUUAAAGGAUGUGUUUUGAAAGGUUUACAAUGGUUUUUAUGGGUUGUAGCAUGAAGUAGAGGGUUGGUUUUUAAUUAGGCUGUGGUGGCUUUUAUUAGUGUGAGUAUGUAGUGUUUGUUUUGGUGGGUUUGAGGUAGUGUCCUGUAGUUAAUUAGUAAUCUUUUUUGGUUUUUUUAAAAAUAUUGAUAAUUGCAUUCUUGUUAAUUCUCUUAUAGAGGUUUUAUUAAUUUGGUUUGUUUAAUUGUCUUGGAUGUUUUAUUGUUACCGGCAAUUUGGGUGUUAUUGUUUAUGGUUACCUUUCUCUUUUGGCGACGUGUUUAUUUCUAGGUGGUGUUUGUAUUUUGAUGGUUCGAGGCAUUAUGGCUUUAUGGAGUUAGGAAUAAUUUUUUUUGUUGUUAAUUUAAGUUUAUUUAUUCGGGUUUUUUUUUAGUUUGAUGUAUUUGUUGGUUGCUUUUUAUUUGUGUAUUUAUACGGUGGAUUUUUUAGGUAGUUUUUUAUUUGGGUACUUUUUAUUGUCUAGUGGUUUAGAUUUUUUAAAUAUCGUUUAUUACUUUGGUUUUUAAAGUUAACUUAGCAGAGUACUUGUUACUCUUUGAGUUAGUGUGGAGGUAUGGUUGUCAUUUUUAGUAGCUUUCAGGGUCUGUUGUAUGGUUUGAGGUUUAGUAAGUUGGUUGGACUUCUUUUUCUAGUGAGUUUUGUGAUUUGUUUUGUGGGUUUCUUUAGGGCUGUUUUUUAUUUUUGUUUCAUUUUUGUGAUGUGUCUCGCUAACAAGUGUUAGUGAAAAGAGUGUAGCGUGGGUUUGUUUUUGCUGGUAGCCGGUUCUAUGGUGGUGUAUUUUUAGUUUGAGUUGUUUGUUUUUGGUUUUCUGUUGUUAGAGAUCAAAGUUUUUAUUUUGGGCUUAAUUUGUAAUUAUUUUUAAGGUUUUAGGGUGAUUGAGAUUUUUGAUACGGAUGUCCUGUAUGAUAAGAGUUAAUUUAUUUGCUUUAUGUGGAAUUGAUGGCAGGGUAGAGGACAUUUUUGUAUAGAAUGUGUAUUUUAAUCAUAGUAUUAAAAUAAUACCAUGGUAAGAGGGGCUGUGUUUUAUUCUCUGUGUUCGAGGUGGUUUGGCAUUUUCUUAUAGGUUGGGCUUUUUUUUGUUGGCUCGUGGAGCCAUUCUGACUUUUUUUUUGAUGAAAUUGGUGGGAAUUUGAUGUUUCUUUUGUUAUUUUAUUUUUAGGAAUUGUAUCUUUGCAGUAGUCUUUUUGAUUUUGCUUUUUUUUUUUUUUGUGGUGUAGUAGUCUUUUAGAAGAAUUUGGCUGAUUUUUAAAAAUAUUUUUGUUAUACUUUUCAUCUAAUGUUGUUGGAUUAUUACAGAUAUUUUGGAGUUUGAUUUUUUUAGGUUUCAUUUGGAGGAAUUUAUGCUAGAUGGUAGGACUGUGUUUUUAUUUUUGGGGUAGUUGGUUGUAGGUGUAUUGUAUGUUUUUCAAAUGAAGGUAAAAUGAGGUUUGUAAUCAGUUGUUAGAGGAAUGGAGAAAAAUGUAUUGGUAAUGUUUACAGUGGUGUGUUAUUUUGUGGUUUUUGAUUUUAGUUGGUAUUGGAGUUUUAAUAAGUUUGGUACAGUAGUGUUUAAUGGUGGAGUUAUUCAAGGUAUGAUAGUUUAGAGGUAAUUCUUAUUUGUUUUAGAUUUGUGUGUAGGUUAGAGGAGGUUGUUGAAGGGCGAGUGUGUUUUGUAGAUGAAUUUUAGUGCUUCAGUUUAUAGAGCAUUUUUUGGAUGGGAGUUACAGUAUUUUGACUUGUUUGGCAUCACUGGUGAUGUAUUGUUCAGGUGGUGAGGAGUAUUUGUUGGGUUUUUUUAAAGAAGGUUUAUUGUCGAUAGUUUUAGAUAGUUGUGGUGGGUUGCUUAAUUGUUUGAUGUUUUUUAGCUUUUUAGUAGUUAUUUAAAAUAUGUUAGAGUUUUUUUUGGGUUUAUUGAAUUACUUGAUUUUGAGGAAGUUCCGAUUUAGAAUGUAUGGUUUUUUUGGCUUAAAAUAAAAAUGCUAUAUUUUUAGUGAGACUUAUUUUUCUUUUCUUUUCUUACUGCUAUAUUUUGUGAUAUUUGUCUUAGGUUAGAAUUAGGAAUAGCUUUAUUUUUAUAUGUUGAAAUGAGGGUGGUGUGUACUGCGUACUGGUGUUCAUAAAGGUUUAAUAUUUUUGUGGUUCUGAUGUGUUAGGUUAAUGAACUUAUAAAGUUUACUAGACUUUUUGUUUUUAUUUUGAUACAGGUAGGGUUUUCUUCAUUUUAAGGAUUUCUUCGGCACAGAUUGAGAGGCCUUAUUGAGGGGAAAGGACAGGGUGUCUCUGUUAAUCUAUUUGGCAAUUUGGAUAUUGGGUAAAUAAAGUUAAUGUUUUGGUAGAAUUUUUGGGUUUAGUUAAUUUAUUUAUUUAUGAAUUUGUGUGCCUACAGCUGUAGUGUCUCUGCUGACACUCUGAGUAUCCAUUCAUGUCUGUGUGCAUUAGGCAGUCCAGUCGUGUAACACCGAGACCCCCUCUGCAACCAGCCCGCAGACCCGCUCCUUCGACCUCGUGGGAAUUCGGGAAGCGGCACACGGCUCUGCGAGGGAGCCUGGAUCUCUGUCACUUGAAGGUGUCACCCAGGGAGCUUUCAGGAGCGGCUGAGGAGUUGCUGCAGAUCCUGCCAGGAGGGCGUGGGUGAAGCGUGCAGCCCGAGGAGCCCAGCGUUCUUAGGAGAAUGGCGAG